UGGGGAAUAUUGCGCAAUGGGGGGAACCCUGAUGCAGCCAUGCCGCGUGAAUGAAGAAGGCCUUCGGGUUGUAAAGUUCUUUCGGUAUUGAGGAAGGUUGAUGUGUUAAUAGCACAUCAAAUUGACGUUAAAUACAGAAGAAGCACCGGCUAACUCCGUGCCAGCAGCCGCGGUAAUACGGAGGGUGCGAGCGUUAAUCGGAAUAACUGGGCGUAAAGGGCACGCAGGCGGUUAUUUAAGUGAGGUGUGAAAGCCCUGGGCUUAACCUAGGAAUUGCAUUUCAGACUGGGUAACUAGAGUACUUUAGGGAGGGGUAGAAUUCCACGUGUAGCGGUGAAAUGCGUAGAGAUGUGGAGGAAUACCGAAGGCGAAGGCAGCCCCUUGGGAAUGUACUGACGCUCAUGUGCGAAAGCGUGGGGAGCAAACAGGAUUAGAUACCCUGGUAGUCCACGCUGUAAACGCUGUCGAUUUGGGGGUUGGGGUUUAACUCUGGCGCCCGUAGCUAACGUGAUAAAUCGACCGCCUGGGGAGUACGGCCGCAAGGUUA
rnacentral:rRNA from 1 species